GCUAUUUCUUUGGGCCGCUCCCACGGCAUAUGGAGGUUCCCAGGCUAGGGGUUGAAUCGGAGCUGUAGCCACCGGCCUACACUAGAGCCACAGCAAUUCAGGAUCCGAGCCGCGUCUGCAACCUACACCACAGAUCAUGGCAAUGCCGGAUCGUUAACCCACUGAGCAAGGGCAGGGAUCGAACCCACAACCUCAUGGUUCCUAGUCGGAUUCGCCAACCACUGCGCCACGACGGGAACUCCAUCUCGUUUUAGAAAAACAAAGGAAACUACAAAUGAAAAACACUUCUCAUGGUGUAUAUUAACAGAGCAUUCUAAUAAUCAUUGAGGAUGAAAAACUUUAUAAUAUAUGCAUUUUUAAAGUCAUGAAUAAUUAAACAACCUGAAUCCUGGACAAAUGUGCAGCACAAUCAGCAAGCAUUUUCCAUAUUUUUCUAAAUUCUAAAAUUCACUGGACUCUUUAAAAAAACUCUUAAUUGGGUGGAUAGUAACCUAAAGAACUUCCUUCACUCCAUACACAGAAUCAGUUAUUUGGCACCCAGAGUGGCCAGUUUAAGGAUAAUUUGAAAGAUUUUUAUCAAAUCACUGUAAAAUCUGGAGCUCAAAAUGGUGUAGUCAUUGUCAAAAUGGACUUGAGAAAGCAGGGGGGAGGUUAGUUCAGAAAAGCCAAAAGGACAAUUAAAAUACAUGUCUUCAUUCUCCUGGACAAAAAAUCCAUUUUCUAUGGGAAAAGCAAGAAUUCUUUCCUUUAAAAUUCAUUAAAUUUUGAAAUUUUCAUGAAAACAGCAUCAGAAUGAACUCUUGGGAGAUUUAACUUAAUUUUGAAAUGGCAAGGAAAAUUCAUAUUAGGAUUCUGAAUCAGAAAAGAAUGCGUGGGUAUAAAUACAUACUAAGCUAGUUAUAUUUUCAUUAUCUUGUAGCUUCAUCUUACCACAUGAUAUUAUUUUAUUUCCAUGACAGUAGAUUGCAGUAGCUGCCCAUUAGCUAGAUUAAGGGGAUUCAUAACUGAAUUAAGACAGGGCAAAUAAGUAACCAAUUGAACAAUUCGUGGUGAAGUAUUUUUUAUGGUAUUUCCCAGAUGAUUUUAGUAAGAUAAAAACAUGAUGUGUUCAAAAGUACUGAAAGCUGAAUUUCACAGAUAUAACAUAUAUACCUGCUGAAAGAUCAUCUAUUAACUCACAUAAUUUACAUGUAAAGAACACAUAAGUAAAACAAAUUUGAAUGUAUGUUUAAGCUCACUACUAGGAGGGAAAUUAAGACUGUAGUAUGCCUACACAUCCUCUACAUAAGCCCAGAAAAUUAUUUUCCCAUUUUGAAGUUAAGAACCCAAGUCUCAAAAUAACAGAUAAGCAAUCUAUAGAUUAAAAUUUGAACCACAUUUCUUAAUAUUUUCUUGCUUCUCUUUAGUGUUGAUAUAAAUAAAUUUUAUGUACUAAUUCAUUCACUCAUUCAUUCAUUAUCUAAGAUAAAAUGUCUCCUCUUGAUGCUAUAAUUGAACAGAUCUAUCUAUUCAUAGCACAGUCUUCAAGUAAGCUUACUUAGGCAACAAAUAAUCUUAGAUUCCCAACCUUGAUAUUUAUUAGUUGUAUGGUUGUUGGCACUCUUUCUCUCUAUAAGCACUAGCUUCCUCACUUGUAAAAUGAGACUAAUAAGAGUAUCUACUCAGUAGGGUGGUUCUGGAAAUUAAAGGAGAUAAUAUACAGAGCCUGGAACAAAGUUAAUAUUCAAAAACAUUACCAAAUACUGAGUAAAAAUUAAUAAUGAUUUGACUAUCGAAGCACUUAGGAGGUCUCUUUAUAACAACAUCUCAUAAGAGUUGUGUAGUAUUCUACAGAACUAAUAAACAAUGAAAACUCUAUCAAUAAAGACAGAGCUAGAGGGAGUUCCCAUCAGGGCUCAGCGGAAACAAAUCUGACUAGCAUCCAUGACGAUGCAGGUUCGAUCCCUGGCCUUGCUCAGUGAGUUAAAGAUCCAGCAUUGCCAUGAGCUGUGGUGUAGGUCACAGAGGCGGCUCAGAUAUGGCAUUGCCAUGGCUGUGGCAUAGGCCAGCAGCUACAGCUCCAAUUAGACCCCUAGCCUGGGAACAUCCAUUGCCAUGGGUGCAGCCCUAAAAAGCAAAAUAAAAAGGAAGAAAAAAAGAGUUUGUGGAGUACUCUUCUGGUGCAGCAAGUUAAAAAUGCAGUUUUGUCACUGCAGUUGCUUGGGUCACUGCUGUGGCAUAGGUUCAAUCCCUGGUGCAGGAACUUCCACAUGCCAUGGGUGGGACCAACAAAUAAUAAUAAUAAUAAUAAUAAUUCGAGUUUGCAUAUUUUCUGUUCCUUUGUGAUGAAACAGCUGAAUAAAUGAAAGGAAGACUAUAAACAUAUCAAACAGUGUAUUAUGUGCCUCAUAUUAAAAUUGAUUAUUUCCUAUAACCUU
rnacentral:lncRNA from 1 species